AAAAUGAAAGUAUAUAAGAAGAAUCAAGUCAAAUUUUUAAUCACUUGAAAACAUAAUUUAAGGAUGAAAUCAAUGCAAGACAAUAUUUAAAUAGGAGGAGUUUAUUUGAAAAGAAUUGAUUUUGAUCCUUGACAUGCUUGUUCUUAUUAUUUUAAUGUAUGACUUAACACUUAAUAUAGUGUGCAUAUGGUAUGAUGUUUUGAAUUAUGGGUUCUCAAUAUUUUGUAAUGCUCCAUGCUUAGAUAAUUUAAUUGAAUGUUUGAAAUACUGCAUAAAUUUUUUGGAUAUUAUUGAAAAGAAACUUCAGAUUUGUCGUUCACAAUCAUCUUUAAAAUCUGAAAGUUAAAUAAAUUUGUAAAAAGGAGAAGAGAAAGAUAUCUCUAUUUAGGCAGAAUGAAUUAAUCUUGAUCUAUCUUUCUACUUGCCUAACUUUGAUACAUAAUAUCCUAAUACUUGUUAAAAUAUCCUCCAUUUUGUAUCAAAACUCAAAAUUAAAUACAAAGAUUCUGAAAGUGCUCUAAUGUUAUUGAAAUAUGCGUUUU
rnacentral:lncRNA from 1 species